UACGGAGGGGGCUAGCGUUGUUCGGAAUUACUGGGCGUAAAGCGCGCGUAGGCGGCUUUGUAAGUUAGAGGUGAAAGCCCGGAGCUCAACUCCGGAACUGCCUUUAAGACUGCAUCGCUAGAACGUCGGAGAGGUAAGUGGAAUUCCGAGUGUAGAGGUGAAAUUCGUAGAUAUUAGGAAGAACACCAGUGGCGAAGGCGGUUCUCUGGGACGGUACUGACGCUGAGACGCGAAAGCGUGGGGAGCGAACAGG
rnacentral:rRNA from 1 species